rnacentral:lncRNA from 1 species
AACUAUCAGAUUUAGCAGGUCUUUGAUUUAGUCAUGAAUCAUAACCUAAAUAUUUUUAUCAUGUGCAGGCCAUUUGCUAAACUAUAUUGUACUUGUCACAGCAUAACUCUCUCUCAAUUAGUUUUUAAUUGUCUUUCUGAUUUAUGCAGAGUUCUUUAGGUAUUAGAUUGGGGCGUCACAUCAUCAAAGAAAUCUCAAAAGGGCGGGUGCGCUUAAUCAUAUACUAAGCAGAUCACAUGUGAUAUAGAAUUGGUUCCAGCAUGGUUACAACUUUUAUAUUGUGUUAUCUUCUCAUGAUCUUUCUUGUUUGAUGUCCCCUUUGUGACCACCAUCUUUUUAUAGGUUUCAUUUGUUGAUCCCAUGAAAAAGCGCAUUGCUACAUCUUGUCAGGGUGUUCCUUUAGGUGGCAUUGGGUAGGUUUUCAUCUUAUGCGCAUAACAUAUAUUUUUGUAGAAGUCAACAUACAAAUUAAAUUUUAUGGAGUUUGAUGUUUGGUAUUAAUUAAGGC